rnacentral:rRNA from 1 species
GUCCUUGCCGUAAACGAUGUAGAUUAGGUGUUGGGGGUGUUGAUCCCCCCGGCGCCGCAGUUAACACAUUAAAUCUACCACCUGGGGAGUACGGUCGCAAGACUGAAACUCAAAGAAAUUGACGGGGACCCGCACAAGCGGUGGAGCAUGUGGUUUAAUUCGAGGCUACGCGAAGAACCUUACCCAGGCUUGACAUGUAGUUGACAGCGCAUGAAAGUGCGUUUUCCCGCAAGGGACAAUUACACAGGUGCUGCAUGGCUGUCGU